CCGGCGACCGGCGCACGGUGAGUAACGCGUAUCCAACCUUCCGUACACUCAGGGAUAGCCUUUCGAAAGAAAGAUUAAUACCUGAUGGUAUGGUGAGAUUGCAUGAUAACACCAUUAAAGAUUCAUUGGUAAACGAUGGGGAUGCGUUCCAUUAGGUAGUAGGCGGGGUAACGGCCCACCUAGCCGACGAUGGAUAGGGGUUCUGAGAGGAAGGUCCCCCACAUUGGAACUGAGACACGGUCCAA
rnacentral:rRNA from 1 species